ACCAGGCUAUGUGGGGUGGCCAGUCCUCUUCUGGCUGUGCCGGGUGGAGAUUAUAACAGAACAUGGCCAAGAUGUUCAAAUGUUCAUAAAUGACCAGCAUGGUCGAAUAAUAAUAAGGCAGAACAGUUGAAACUGGAGCAGCAGCACGGCCAGGUGGACUGGGGACAGCAAGGAGUCAUCAUGUCAGGUAGUCCUGUCAUAUCUGUUCCGCCCGCUGAUUAGUUAGGUAUUUAGUAAAUAAAUAAUUAACCCCAAAUUUGUAUUGCUGAUUCAACUUGUUAGCCAAGAUUCUUGCAGAUAACCAAGAAUUUACAACUUUCAAAUUAUGAGACUGAAGUAAGAUGACGAUUAAUGUUGACUGCUAUUGAUGUAAAAUAUGACUAAAUCUUUAAGAGUUUAUUCGGAAGAUAACAGCUCUAUAAAUAUUAUUUUGUGGUGCCCGACUCUUUAGUUAAUUACAUUUACAUGAUUAGCUCAAUCAGGUGAUAUUCAUUACGGAGAAAUUGUUUUAUAGAAUAGCAUGUCUAAGCAAUUAACCCGGCAUAGCCAAAGACACGACACCCACUAUGGAAAAAUACUUAUUAACCUGGGUUUUCAUGAAAUGGCAUGAGUGGACCAAAGAGGCUUCUGAAUAUGGAUGGCCUAUGGAUGGGUCAUUUAACAAAACCGAAUAUCAACAUGUGCAGGACAUUGUGAUAAGAAGACAGGAAAAUAAGACCAAGAGAAAGAAGAAAAAAAAUCCACCCUGUUUUCUGUGACUGCUUUGUCGAGGGCAAAAACUGAGGGUAACUUAUUCUGGACUCAAAAUAAAGCUACCUGUUUGAAAAAGGAAUUGACAAAGAUUAAAGACCCUGCCUUCGUCAAGACAGAGAAGUUUCCUCUAGAAGGCAGCGCCCCACCAUAUGCUCCACCACCCCCUCCCAGCUGCGGAGAUAGGUUUAAGGGAAUUUAUCCACUACUCCCAAACAAACUAGUAGCUCCAGGAGAUAAUUAUUCUCCACCACCGGCACCGGGUAGAAUGUAUCAAGAACUAGGAGAUAUAUGGAAUGAUGCCAGGACACAAUCAACGCCUCUCUACCCUGGAGUUACCAUGGCAAAGGACCUCAUGGCAGCUCAAGAAAAGAAGGUGCAGAGAGAAAUGGAUAAAGCUGUUGACAAACUCCGACGACAUUGCGAUGAUGAAGACAAAGACAAAAGGAGGAGUGGAAGUAACAUAACAAAGGAAUUGAAGAGAAAAGAGGAAAAAUAUGAAGACUGCAGAAAAAGCAAGGAAGACUGGACCUGACACACAGCUCAAGAAGGCCCAGCUGGAAAAAGGAAAGACCAACAACCUGAUGGUGGCUGUAGCCUCUACCUCUCAACAACCACCACCACAACCUCACCAACCACAGCAACAGCCACCCUGGCAACAGAGAGAGAGAGGGAAUGCUGGCAGAGGGAACUUCCAAGGUGGUAGAGGUGGAAGACCAGCCUACACUGGACAGCCUCAACCUGUUUUUUUCCCAGACUCAACCAAUGAAUGGUCGACAAUAUGGAUGGCUCCAACAGCCUCCUUUGACAAACCAGACGAGGUUCCCACCGCAGAAUAAUCAACAAUAGGGAUGACCUGACCCCCUUCUCCAGUGUCACCAGUACAUACUUCCGGAUGAUACCAAAGAACCAAUCAUUACUCUGAAGGUCAACGAUCAAGAGGUACCAUUUUUAAUAGACACUGGAGCUCACUCCUCCUGCAUUGGAUCUACAGGCCAACACCUCGGCCUGGGACUUACAUCUAAGUCAGUGAGGACGAUGGGAGUUGCUGGGAUAUCUCAAAAGCUGUACUGGACUGAAGAUACAACAAUUGACCUGGGGGAAGGUAAUACUAUUAAGGCUCACUGAUGUUACUCUCUUUGUCGAUGGCUCUGCCUUUAUUGAUAGGUAGACUGGUAGGAAACAUGCAGGGUUUGGUAUAGUCUCACUGGAUAGGUCAUUGUUGAUUGAACAGCCCUUGCCUGAACAUUUCUCAGCACAACAAGCUGAGCUCCUGGCCCUUACUGAAGUAUGUAUAUUAGGUAGUAGUUUGAAGGUUAACAUUUAUUCUGACUCUGCAUAUGCCAUUGGUGUUUGCCUCUGCUGGGAUGGCGUUUGGAAGGGUAGGGACUUUGUUAACAUGUCUGGUACCCCUAUUAAACACCGUUUACAGAGCAUUUCAAGCAGGGCUUCUAUGUUGCUUCCUGCCAAGUUGGCUAUUCUUAAGAUCCGUGCCCACACAGGUAACACUGACAGCAUUAGUUUAGGUAAGGCUGAUGCUGCUGCUAAGAAUGCUGCUUCUCGCUGCAAUACUCAUGCCGUUAUGCUUACUACACUGUGUACGUCUUAAAUCACUGAUCUGGACCAACACCAAGCUGCUGAUGCACUUAAUCCCCCCUUAUUGGAAUCUAGGGGCUACUCCAGAGGCCCUGAUGAUCUGUAGAGGCAAACCAGUUCUCCCUCUGCCUCUCGUCUCUUCUGUGUGUCGCCUGGCCACACGCCAAGGGGGGAGAUGGUUUUUGUAUUCCCAAUACAGGAAAGCCCAGGAAGUUCCAGAACAGAGUGACCCAGACAAGCCUACUUGUUGACGUUGGAGAAUGGAUCAAGCUGAAGGUACACAAGAGGAAGUGGAACCACCCCAGAUGGAUGGGUCCGUACCAGGUCAUCACAGCAACACCUACAGCAGGAGCGUCAGGGGUGGCACCACCUAUCCCACCUCCAGAAGACGUCCCAACCAUCAUAACAGAAAAGAGUGUACACCCAGACUCAGAUGUUGUUACACAUGUCCAAUAUGGUCACAUUGUAAAAAACAAAACUUGGGGUAAAACUUUGAGGUACAUGUUUUUGAUACUUCUUAUCAUCAACCAGCAGCCUCUGUUGGGGGGAAUAGAUAUCAAAGAAAAUCAAUUGAAAACAAGUAACCAAUGGGUAAACAUGGCCCAGAACCUGAGCCGACAAGCCACACCUAGUAGCUCAUAUGUAAUCAUUAAAAAAAAACUCGGUCAGAGUGAAUUGCUUGGAUCAAUUGUAGUCCCAUUGCUAAGUACACCUACUCCAUGCAGGCCCAUAUGAAUUUGGCAGUAGCUGAUUUUGCCCUUCUUUCUGCUGAUGUUCAGAAUCUUAAAGCUGUUACAGCCAGGCAUAGCCUGGAAUUAGACUACAUCCUGGAUAAUGAGGGGGGAUAUUGCAAGGCCCUAAAUUAUAUUUCCCCCACUGAAUGUGUUAUGCUUCUCCCUGACUCCUCUGAUAAUAUGACAGAGAUUUUGAAAGAAUAAACACAAUUGGCUGAUACCUACGCCCCUUACAGGAGAAGAAUCCUUUUUCCCGUUUGGGUGGUUGAAAGAUAAGUUAUGCGAUUUUGAAUUUAAGCUGUUUUCCCAUUUUGGUCCCAUUACUGGCCCCACUGCUUGUUCUGCUGAUUUGCAUUUGUGCAUUCUGUGCAGCUGCAAAUGUGUAAGGCUAUGCCAGGCAUGUUUAUGCUUCGUGUUCCUCAUCCCCCAGACCCUUAUUUCUAUCCUCAAUCUCCUGAGGAUCGCUUGCAAUCUUAGGCACCUUUUUAAUGGAGGAUUCUUAUAAUGACUAUGCUUGAGUUACUUCGCUUUUGUUGAGCCCUAGUGGCCUCAAAGGGGGGAACGAAGGGGUAAAACCAAGGCCUCAUACCUUUAAAGGGUUAAUCAAUUGUUUUAUGAUGAACUGUAAGGUUUCCUCUUUAGGAGACCUCUGUGUGUGUGUUAACACCUGUUCUGAGUGUUGUGCCCUUCAGACACUAUCAGAAGGUGGAAACCGCCUUCGCUCAGACUCCUGAGUUACAGGAUGUCUUAGACAUUUUGCAGAACCUGGGGAGAGCUAUCAUAUACUGUACUCUGUACCAACUUCUGCCUACAAUUGUAUUACUAAAGGAGAAUUGUCAUACUUAAACAA